ACGGAAGGCAGCAGUGGGGAAUAUUGCACAAUGGGCGAAAGCCUGAUGCAGCGACGCCGCGUGAGUGAAGAAGUAUCUCGGUAUGUAAAGCUCUAUCAGCAGGGAAGAAAAUGACGGUACCUGACUAAGAAGCCCCGGCUAACUACGUGCCAGCAGCCGCGGUAAUACGUAGGGGGCAAGCGUUAUCCGGAUUUACUGGGUGUAAAGGGAGUGUAGACGGUUUGGCAAGUCUGAAGUGAAAUGCGGGGGCUCAACUCCUGAACUGCUUUGGAAACUGUCGAACUAGAGUGCAGGAGAGGUAAGUGGAAUUCCUAGUGUAGCGGUGAAAUGCGUAGAUAUUAGGAGGAACACCAGUGGCGAAGGCGGCUUACUGGACUGUAACUGACGUUGAGGCUCGAAAGCGUGGGGAGCAAACAGGAUUAGAUACCCUGGUA
rnacentral:rRNA from 2 species